rnacentral:piRNA from 1 species
GCAGCUACAGCCCAGAGACCUUCCGCCAGC